rnacentral:rRNA from 1 species
UACAGAGGGUGCAAGCGUUGUUCGGAAUUACUGGGCGUAAAGAGCGUGUAGGCGGUUUUGUAAGUCAGAUGUUAAAUAACUAGAGCUCAACUUUAGUGCUGCAUUUGAUACUACAAAACUAGAGGAUGGGAGAGGCAAAUGGAAUUCUUAGUGGAGAAGUGAAAUUCGAUGAUAUUAGGAGGAACUCCAGAGGCGAAGGCGAUUUGCUAGAACAUUCCUGACGCUGAGGCGCGAAAGCGUGGGGAGCAAAUGGG